rnacentral:rRNA from 1 species
AGGACGAACGCUGGCGGCGUGCCUAACACAUGCAAGUCGAACGAGGUCCAUCCGGUAGCAAUACUGGUGAAGAUCAAGUGGCGAACGGGUGAGUAGCACGUGAGCAACCUGCCCCGAAGACCGGGACAACACCGGGAAACCGGUGCUAAUACCGGAUAUCCCCACCGAGUCGCAUGGCUUGGUGAGGAAAUGGAUUCCGCUUCGGGAGGGGCUCGCGGCCUAUCAGCUUGUUGGUGAGGUAAUGGCUCACCAAGGCUUCGACGGGUAGCUGGUCUGAGAGGACGAUCAGCCACACUGGGACUGAGACACGGCCCAGACUCCUACGGGAGGCAGCAGUGGGGAAUCUUGCACAAUGGGCGAAAGCCUGAUGCAGCAACGCCGCGUGAGGGACGAAGGCUUUCUGAGUUGUAAACCUCUUUCAGCAGGGACGAUUGUGACGGUACCUGCAGAAGAAGCCCGGCAACUACGUGCCAGCAGCCGCGGUAA